GAAAGGAAGUGCAUAUAUAUCACUAUCCCUAACCAGGAACUAUCUCUAAUGACAACCUCUUACAAAGGAAAAAUUAGUUCUCUGAAGAAAAGGAACUCUAUGGUUAGAUGAUAACUAUGGGAAAGUUAAUAAUCACAGGAAGAGAAGUAUCUUUAAAAGGAAUGUGUGCUGAGUAAACAGGACUUUUUCUAUCAUGGAUAAACCAAUAUUUUCUUGACUCCAUCAGAAAAGAGCUGCAGAUCACACAACUCUCAAAUCAAGAGGAAGUAAGCAAGCACAGAUGUCUAGAGUGAUAUUCAAGAUGCCUGGUCCCCCAUAUUGUCCCCUCUUCUUGGCUUGACAUUGACCCACUUAGAAGCAUUCAUGUGGCCUUGUCUUAAAUCUUCAUGCCUAUUGUUUUUAUCUGCAAAUUCAACAAGAUUUGUAUCACCAUGCCUCUGGGAAAAUGCACAGAGAGAAAGUUCAGGCAUUCCACUUCCAAUACAACUUUCUCAGCUACGUUCCAGAAAAUGGUAUGAUAAAACAGGCCUGUCAUCAGGAAAGGGCUUCACUGCUGGAUUUAAAUGAGAAAGCCCAGAUCCAGGCACAGGUCAGCCAGAAGAGAAAACUGCCUGGAAUGUUAUCUUCAAGAAUUAACUAAAACAAAACACCAUAAAUAACCUGAACACAACUCAGAACCAACGAAAAGGAAUGGAACAACUCCCAGAAUGUGAAAUGGACAGGUGUCUAGAGAUCUUGUCUUGUGGAAAAUGAACACAUAUUAUGUUUCAGUG